GAUGAACGCUGACAGAAUGCUUAACACAUGCAAGUCAACUUGAAUUUGGGUUUUUAACUUAGGUUUGGGUGGCGGACGGGUGAGUAACGCGUAAAGAACUUGCCUCACAGCUAGGGACAACAUUUGGAAACGAAUGCUAAUACCUAAUAUUAUGAUAAUAGGGCAUCCUAUAAUUAUGAAAGCUAUAAGCGCUGUGAGAGAGCUUUGCGUCCCAUUAGCUAGUUGGAGAGGUAACGGCUCACCAAGGCGAUGAUGGGUAGCCGGCCUGAGAGGGUGAUCGGCCACAAGGGGACUGAGACACGGCCCUUACUCCUACGGGAGGCAGCAGUGGGGAAUAUUGGACAAUGGACCAAGAGUCUGAUCCAGCAAUUCUGUGUGCACGAUGAAGUUUUUCGGAAUGUAAAGUGCUUUCAGUUGGGAAGAAAAAAAUGACGGUACCAACAGAAGAAGUGACGGCUAAAUACGUGCCAGCAGCCGCGGUAAUACGUAUGUCACGAGCGUUAUCCGGAUUUAUUGGGCGUAAAGCGCGUCUAGGUGGUUAUAUAAGUCUGAUGUGAAAAUGCAGGGCUCAACUCUGUAUUGCGUUGGAAACUGUAUAGCUAGAGUACUGGAGAGGUAAGCGGAACUACAAGUGUAGAGGUGAAAUUCGUAGAUAUUUGUAGGAAUGCCGAUGGGGAAGCCAGCUUACUGGACAGAUACUGACGCUGAAGCGCGAAAGCGUGGGUAGCAAACAGG
rnacentral:rRNA from 1 species